GUUGCAUCUAACUCCUGUGUGUGUGUGUGUGUGUGUGUAAUAAUGUUUUUUCUCUCUGCUGAGGCUUACUUCUCCAGCCUAUUGUUUGAGACAACAGAUAUAAGUUGCGAUGGGAGAGGAGCGUCGGAUUUGGUGUGUAUCCCCCAUUUCCAAUUAUAGAUGGAUCAUUACAGACAGCGGAGUCCUGAGAAGCCAGACAUCUGCUCCUCACAUGAAUGCACUCACCUCCUAGAGACCAGGCUGCCAUCAUGCUCUGGAAGCUCGUGGAGAAUGUCAAGUACGAAGAUAUCUAUGAGAUGUUAGUCCACACCUAUUCAUCCAUGGACCGGCACGAUGGCGUCCCGAGUCACAGCUCGCGACUCUCCCAGCUGGGCUCCGUGUCCCAAGGACCUUAUUCGAGCGCCCCGCCGCUGUCCCACACCCCGUCGUCAGACUUCCAGCCGCCCUACUUCCCACCCCCCUACCAGCCGCUCCCCUACCACCAGAGCCAGGACCCCUACUCCCACGUCAACGAUCCCUACUCCCUGAACCCACUGCACCAACCCCAACAGCACCCCUGGGGGCAACGGCAGCGACAAGAAGUGGGUUCAGAAGCCGGAUCUCUCCUGCCCCAGCCUCGGGCCGCCUUGCCCCAGCUCUCGGGCCUGGACCCUCGGAGGGACUAUCAUUCAGUCCGCCGGCCCGACGUGCUGCUACAUUCCGCACACCACGGCCUGGACGCGGGCAUGGGUGACAGCCUGUCCCUGCACGGCCUGGGUCAUCCCGGCAUGGAAGAUGUCCAGUCAGUUGAAGAUGCCAAUAACAGCAGCAUGAAUCUAUUGGAUCAGUCUGUCAUAAAAAAAGUUCCUGUUCCUCCCAAAUCUGUGACUUCUCUGAUGAUGAAUAAAGAUGGUUUUCUGGGAGGCAUGUCCGUCAACACUGGCGAGGUGUUUUGCUCAGUCCCUGGUCGUUUGUCUCUGCUCAGUUCAACUUCAAAAUACAAAGUAACUGUGGGGGAAGUCCAGAGACGACUUUCGCCCCCCGAAUGCCUCAACGCUUCUCUCCUCGGCGGCGUCCUUAGAAGAGCCAAAUCGAAAAAUGGGGGGAGAUCUUUGAGAGAAAGGCUAGAAAAAAUCGGUUUGAAUUUACCCGCGGGCAGACGCAAAGCAGCAAAUGUCACAUUACUCACCUCCCUGGUGGAAGGAGAAGCUGUUCACUUGGCUCGGGAUUUUGGGUACAUCUGUGAAACAGAGUUUCCUGCCAAAGCUGUUUCUGAGUAUUUGAACCGGCAGCACACGGACCCCAGUGACCUGCACUCCCGAAAGAAUAUGCUGCUGGCCACCAAGCAACUUUGUAAAGAAUUUACAGAUCUGCUCGCACAGGACCGGACGCCCAUCGGGAAUAGCAGGCCCAGCCCCAUCCUGGAGCCAGGGAUCCAGAGCUGCCUCACGCACUUCAGCCUCAUCACACACGGUUUCGGCGCCCCGGCCAUUUGCGCCGCGCUCACAGCCCUGCAGAACUAUCUCACCGAGGCGCUCAAAGGCAUGGACAAGAUGUUCUUGAACAACACCACCACUAACAGGCACACGUCUGGGGAAGGCCCAGGUAGUAAAACUGGCGACAAGGAGGAGAAACACAGGAAAUGAAAAAAAAAAAUUAAAGAAAAAAAUGUUUUAAAUACAAAAGGAAAACAAAAAAAAUAAUUUUAGCUUUAAAAUAUUGGAUUGGCUUUGGAAGAAUUAUAUUAGGUAGAAUACACAUACAAUCAAAAAUUUAAAAAAAAAUCAAGGCUAAAUAUCACUUAAAAACAAAAAACAAAAACCUGAGGCGUACAACGGAGCAACAAUACCGGUUCUCAGUGUCUAUUUCAAGAUACAUUUGGAGACAACCGUCCGGAUUUUCCACUUCGGUUCUUUCGAGCUUAGUAAUACUGAUAAUAAAAGAAAAACAUGAUUUUUUUCCCUUUGGAAAAUAAACAUAAGACUAAACAUGAAAAAAAAACCCACUAACUUAUUGGAAGAAACUCGGAGAAACGUUGGUGUCAGUGCUUUGAAAGCUGGUUGACUGAGACGCACGAACUUUUUAAUUUUUGAUUUUUUAAAAAGGAAACUCGCACCCCAUCCCCCACCCUUCCACCUCACCUUAAUCGUUUCCCAGCCACCCUUUUCUACGUUGCUCUCCCUUCCUCAAGCUGUCACGGGAAUCCUCCAGGAUGAAAAUGAGAGUGGUUAGACCUAUAGCGUUGUGUUUCAGCCCCUCCUGUCCCCUGCCCCCACCCCUCGCCCGGAGUUCUUAACUCAGUGGUGCCCAGCUACCCGGCCAUUUGCAGAGUUGGGGGGGGGGGAGUGAGGGCGAGGGUGUGGGCGAGAGAGUGGGAGUCCGUGGAGGUGCAGGCCUUGGCUGCAGCUUUUGGUGCCCGCUGGUUUAGUGGAGACUCCAGCAACUGAGGCUGAGAAAAAUCCGGACCAAUAAGUUGAUUCACUUAUCAUCAGUUCCUUUCAGCAAUGUUACUAGUUCCCAGCCUUGCCAGCAUCUACAUACAGGGACCCUUGCAUUUGUUAUAUCUGUCUCACCUACUAAUUUUUAAGAGCAAUAGUAAAACACACACACAAUAUGAAUACGUUGAUUAAUAUGUAAUUCCUUCGGAGGGGUAUGUACCAUUUCAUUCUCUUCUGUUUUCCAAAGCUUUGCCCGCAUGGUUUAUGAGCUUCUUCAAAGAGGACUUGGGCUUCCUACACAAUCUAUAAGGGCAACGCGCCUCACGCGUGUGAAGUGCGAGAGACGCGAUGGACGCGCCUUGCUCUUACUGUGCAGGCCCUGAGAGCGUGGGGGCCACUCGCACCCUGUCGUGUUGAGGACAUAAAAUCAGCCGCUGGAGGGGCCACGGGCUGCGGGCACCCUUCCCGCUCUCGGUCUCACCCUAAGAGCUAAGGCAACCGAGAAAGCCCGGCUCUCCAGUAGGUAAUGGGGCAUCGCCCCGCGGGCUGCAGGCGGGGAGGGGUCUCAGCGCGGCCCAGGCUCUUUGCUACCAGCGUUCACCCGGGUGCCUGCUCCCGGAGGGCACGUGACAUAGUGAUGACCCGGUAAUCUCGAGCUCUCUUCCCCUUAGGCGUCCUGCCCCAUCUUUGCUGGGACUAGAUCUACGUCCACCCUCAGGUCCAGUAGACGGGUGGUGGGACAGGAAUUGUUGGCUGCGCAGACUCCCCUUCAAGGCCCUGCAGCCCAGCUAAGUAGGAUUCCUUUCAAGUCUCUCUUGUCACCACUCUCCCUUUUCCUCCCCAUUUCGUGUACGACCCCCAUCCCCCUUGCCUUCUUUAGCUAGGCCCUCUGUUCAGUUUAUCUGCUAAUUGAAUUAUUAAAAGCUUUGGUUUCCUUGGGCCCAUAAAUCAAUAAACAGUAGGAUUAACGCAAAAGUUUGCCUUCUAUGUCAAGGAAAACAUUUUAGAGCAAGCCCUUUGAGCUUUAUUUUCAAAUCAAACAGGUGAAUUGCAGCUCUUGCUCCAUUCCUGGACUCCUUAGGCAUUUUAUCCAUGCCACAUGUUCCCUCCUAAAUAAGAGGUGCCAAACCAAAAUAGCUAAAGAUAGGACAAAAAGCCAGAAUGUGGAAGUACUGUCCUCACACUUUCCACUUUUCAAGUCCCUUUGGAAGUUCUAAAUGUGUUGUACUACUCUGCCCAAUCCUGCACCUUCUAUAGGUGUUCUGUGACUUUUUUUUUUUUCUUUUCUUUUCUGGGUCUGCGCAAGGAUCUCAUGAAGGAAGUGAACUUUAACUUCUCCAACAAAUGGGAAAAAUAACUUUCUCUCCCUACCCCCUAUAUUAUUUGGCUUCCGCUCACCCCCCACAAUACUUGCCCCCCCCUCUCUCUAACUCCAAAUCCUUAGGUUUCGCCACCCCACCCCCAACACACACUUAAACCUAAGAGGCUUUCAAAGACCUGGCUAUUUUAUUUUCUUUGGCCAAGGAAACCACUUUCUCUCAGUCAUUUCACAUCCUAAGUAAACUUUGGUCAAAUGGAAAACCUGAACACCCCCCCCCCCCAGCUUAUCUGCACACUACUCCUCAGUUACAAAGUCUCACUUUACACUUAAAAGGGCAACUUAUUCCUACUUACAGUGUUUAUAGAGAAUUUGUCAUCACAUCUGAUAUCAUGUAUGUAUAAUACAUUAUGUGGAAAGAAAAUAAUAACCUUAAACCAUCUGAUGCUGCCUCAAGAGCCCAAACAGUGUUUUCCCUCCUGUGCUGAUGUUUGAUGUAUGUUAAAUAAUUGGGGGUUAAAAAACAGAGUAUCAAAAUUCAUUGUUUUCUUUCAAAAAGUGGAAUGAACUCUUUUUUAAAAUAGCAAAAUCAGCUCCUCUUGAGUUAAUCUGUAAUUCACUAUCAUUGUUUUUGCCACACAAUUGACAAAUAUCAAUUUAUUAUCUCUUCAUGAGGAGAUCUCUGGAGGGUAUCUAUCCAUGUUAAGUUUGUAUAUAUUUAUUUAUGCUUAAUUUAAUGGGAAUGUGUAAAUAUGGCGAGCAAGUAGUUUGGGAUUAUUUAUCUGUGAAUCUAUACCUCUGUGAAUGGGUGGUAAAACAAAACAAAACGCUUGACCCUAGGUAGAAUCUUAUCUGAAUUUUUUCUGUUCUUUAUAGACAAGCUGUCAUGGUAAUGGGUAGAAAUUGGUUUACUGUCCAGUGUUGAUCUGAUUUACAUAAAUAAAAGAUUGUUGUGUUUUU